UUUAUAUUCAAUAAUAAGAAUAGUUAUUCUUAUAUAUAACUAUAUGUAUAGAUAAUUAAUAUUAUAUUAUUAUGACUUUUGUGUCGUAAAUUCUUUGAUGAAUGAAACUGUAUAAAACAAAUAUCUCGUUCAAAAAACAAAAAUUGGUAUCGCCACAGGAUACUACUUAAAUGUUGGGAAAAACCUAAAUAUUCGAAAAUAUCGGCUUUAACCACACUUAAAAAUUCCUAAAAUCAGAAUUUGAAUAUAUGCAAAUUUUAACCAAAAAAUGGUGUCAGCAUGCUUAGUGAAUCAUCCUUUAUAUAUAUACAAACAUCUUAGAAUGAAAACUAAAAUUGAAUGUUUAGCAUUAUAGCUGCUAGAAAAGUGUCAUCAGACACAAAAAUAAAAAUAAAAACCAGUACGUGUUGAGCAACCGACCGCGACACACGUGUAUUCUUGGUUCCUCAUGGCUAGAAAAGACCCCCCCCCCAUAUGCGAAACAUGCGGAGUGGAGUACACCGUCGAACAUAUAAUCAUUGAUUGUCUCAAAUACGCAGACUCAAGAUCCAAAUACUCCAUUCCUUACCAACUUAGUGAAGCUCUACAACCAGACCUCCAAUCAAAUACCAACAUAGUCAACUUUUUAAAGGAUACCAAACUGUACAACCUAAUUUAAGAAUUUUUAUACAAAAUGUAAUAUAUUUAAUUAAUUUUAAUUAAUGUACUAUUAUAACUAAUGGCCUCGUAGCCGAUGUUUCUUUUUUUUUUUUAAAAAAAAAAAAAAAAAAAAAACAUUUCACGGCAAGACCAAUAGAGUAGAAUAUACCUAUGUGUAUAAUAAUUUUAGUGUCACCCCCUCCCCCUAUAAAACUAAGCAAAAUACGCCC